GGACUGAGACACGGCCCAGACUCCUACGGGAGGCAGCAGUGGGGGAUAUUGCACAAUGGGGGGAACCCUGAUGCAGCGACGCCGCGUGAGCGAAGAAGUACCUCGGUAUGUAAAGCUCUAUCAGCAGGGAAGAAGAUGACGGUACCUGACUAAGAAGCUCCGGCUAAAUACGUGCCAGCAGCCGCGGUAAUACGUAUGGAGCAAGCGUUAUCCGGAUUUACUGGGUGUAAAGGGAGCGUAGGCGGCCUGGCAAGUCUGGUGUGAAAACCCGGGGCCCAACCCCGGGAGUGCAUUGGAAACUGCCAGGCUGGAGUGCCGGAGGGGCAGGCGGAAUUCCUAGUGUAGCGGUGAAAUGCGUAGAUAUUAGGAGGAACACCGCUGGCGAAGGCGGCCUGCUGGACGGCAACUGACGCUGAGGCUCGAAAGCGUGGGGAGCAAACAGGAUUAGAUACCCUGGUAGUCCACGCCGUAAACGAU
rnacentral:rRNA from 1 species